GACGAACGCUGGCGGCGUGCUUAACACAUGCAAGUCGAACGGAAAGGCCCUGCUUUUGUGGGGUGCUCGAGUGGCGAACGGGUGAGUAACACGUGAGUAACCUGCCCUUGACUUUGGGAUAACUUCAGGAAACUGGGGCUAAUACCGGAUAGGAGCUCCUGCUGCAUGGUGGGGGUUGGAAAGUUUCGGCGGUUGGGGAUGGACUCGCGGCUUAUCAGCUUGUUGGUGGGGUAGUGGCUUACCAAGGCUUUGACGGGUAGCCGGCCUGAGAGGGUGACCGGGCGUAUGGGGAGUGAGAGCAGUCCGAGAAGCGAGGGGGAGGCAGACAGAGGUAUUGGUAAACAAGGGGUGGAAGCAUGCGGCAGCAAGGGCGCGUGGUGGACGACGGCCGUCGGGUGGUAAUGAGCUUCCGCCGGGGACGGAGAGUGUGGGAGGGGAUGGGGAAAAGAAGUACCCGGUAACCAGGCGGAAGCAGCGGGGGGGGGAGAUCGGACAGGAACACGUCAUUAC
rnacentral:rRNA from 1 species